rnacentral:rRNA from 1 species
UACGGGGGGGGGCAAGCGUUGUUCGGAAUUACUGGGCGUAAAGCGUGCGCAGGCGGUUCUCCAAGUCCGUUGUGAAAGCCCCGGGCUCAACCUGGGAAUGGCAGUGGAAACUAGGGGACUUGAAUCUGGCAGAGGGGGGUGGAAUUCCACGUGUAGCAGUGAAAUGCGUAGAGAUGUGGAGGAACACCGAUGGCGAAGGCAGCCCCCUGGGCUGAGAUUGACGCUCAGGCACGAAAGCGUGGGGAGCAAACAGG